GAUGAACGCUGGCGGCGUGCCUAAUACAUGCAAGUCGGGCGAACAGACGAGGAGCUUGCUCCUCUGACGUUAGCGGCGGACGGGUGAGUAACACGUGGAUAACCUACCUAUAAGACUGGGAUAACUUCGGGAAACCGGAGCUAAUACCGGAUAAUAUAUUGAACCGCAUGGUUCAAUAGUGAAAGACGGUUUUGCUGUCACUUAUAGAUGGAUCCGCGCCGCAUUAGCUAGUUGGUAAGGUAACGGCUUACCAAGGCGACGAUGCGUAGCCGACCUGAGAGGGUGAUCGGCCACCCUGGAACUGAGACACGGUCCAGACUCCUACGGGAGGCAGCAGUAGGGAAUCUUCCGCAAUGGGCGAAAGCCUGACGGAGCAACGCCGCGUGAGCGAUGAAGGUCUUCGGAUCGUAAAACUCUGUUAUUAGGGAAGAACAAAUGUGUAAGUAACUAUGCACGUCUUGACGGUACCUAAUCAGAAAGCCACGGCUAACUACGUG
rnacentral:rRNA from 1 species